rnacentral:rRNA from 1 species
AUUGAACGCUGGCGGCAGGCCUAACACAUGCAAGUCGAGCGAUUUUGGCUUCGGUCAGAAGAGCGGCGAACGGGUGAGUAACACGUAGGAAUCUGCCUGGUAGUGGGGGACAACGUCUCGAAAGGGACGCUAAUACCGCAUACGCCCUACGGGGGAAAGCUGGGGACCUUCGGGCCUAGCGCUAUCAGAUGAGCCUGCGUCGGAUUAGCUAGUUGGUAGGGUAGAGGCCUACCAAGGCGACGAUCCGUAACUGGUCUGAGAGGAUGAUCAGUCACACCGGAACUGAGACACGGUCCGGACUCCUACGGGAGGCAGCAGUGGGGAAUAUUGGACAAUGGGGGCAACCCUGAUCCAGCCAUGCCGCGUGUGUGAAGAAGGCCUUCGGGUUGUAAAGCACUUUAGGUCGGGAGGAAGGUUCGCUGGCUAAUAUCCAGCGGAAUUGACGUUACCGACAGAAUAAGCACCGGCUAACUUCGUGCCAGCCGCCGCGGUAAGAC